CGCCGCAGGGCUGGAUCCUCUGAGGCCGCCAGGGAGACUUUGUCCCCGUCUCCCCAGCUCCUCCUGCGAUCCUUGCUGAUCAUUGGCUACAGAGGCACCACCCACCCCAGCCUCCCUCUUCACAAGGUGUUCUCUGCCAGUGUGGGCAGGGGACAGGGGUGUCUGUCUCCAAAUUUCUCUUUUUAUAAGCACCCGUCAUUCUGGAUUAUGGCUCACCCUAAGGACCUCCGCCUCGCCAAUCGCCUCGGCAAGGUCUCCAUUGCCCAGUAAGGUCACCUGCUGCAGCACUGGGCAGUGGGGCUCCACCCUAUGGCUCAGAGGAGUCACAGUGCACCCCACGGCCACCCCUCAGUCACCCACUGAGCUGGACACCGCUGAAGGUCACCAGGCUGGGCCCAAGCAUGACCUGAGAAUCCAGCAGGUCCGCCAGUGGGUGGUCCCAGCCCAGACCACACAGAGACAUUGGAGAGGUCCGUGCCACCAGAUGCACUGUUGGUGGAACUUCAUAAACGGCAGCAUGAAAUAUUUACCCACUUACACGAGCUUAAGUAAUUUAAGUUUGCUGGAAAUCAACAUCAUGUUUUCAUCUUUAAUGAGCCUCUGUAAAGCAGCGGCUUCUGUCACUGGCAGGUGUUGGGGACAGGAGCUUCCACAGCCAGAUGCGGCUUUAAUCUCCCUCCUCAGCAGUGACGAAGGAUGCAGGCAAAGCUUGGCCCCGGGCAGGGCAGGCGGUCGGGGGAUCAGAGCCCCGUGUCCUUCCUGCUCCCCUGCUGUCUCUGGACACUGAAGGACACUGGGCACUCCUUAGCAGAGCUCACAGGGCCCUGGUCAGCUGAACGGUGGUCUCCAAAGAUGUGCAAGUCUUAGUCACCGGGACCUGUGAAUCCAUCAGUUGACGCGGCACAAGGGACUUUGCAGACAUAAGGACCUUGAGAUGGACAGUGUGGGGGCUUAUUUUAUGUGUCAACUCGACUGGGCUGAGGAGGGCCCAGAGAGCGGGCGCGACCUCAUUUGGGUGCAUCAAUGGGAGGGGAGCAUUUCCAUCAGUAGACAGAAGAACCCCACCCAUGCAGGUGGGCCUUGUCCAGUGUGGGUGGUCACCUUCCAGCAGCAGGAUCACCCAGUACAGGUGGACGUCAUCCAGUCAGUUGGGGCCCCAAAGAAAACAAAAAGUGGAGGAAGGGCAGCUGUGGUCUCUACAGGGCCAUUUAUCUUCUGCCUUGGAUGACCCGGCUGCCCAUUCUCAGGCCUCCAGCCCCAGACUGGACUGCACCCUGGCUGUCCUGGCCUCUGGCUUGCAGGCAGCAGUCUGUGGGACCACUUGGCUCCUUAUCCUGUGAGCCGGUCCCCGUAGUAAGUCUCCUCGUAGACAGAUGCGCACGUACACACUGCUGUAGCCCGCUUUCCCACGGCUGCAAUCGAAAGCCCUGACAAGAACAAUUUAGAGGAGGAAAAGCUUAUUUUAGAGGUCUCAGUCCAGAGAAGGCUGGCUCCAUUCCUCAGGGCCUGAGAUGGAGCAGCGCAUCAUGGCACAAGGACGUGGCAGAGGAAAGCAACCAGACCACGGCACCAGGAAGCAGAGAGAGACAGAGAGGGGGAGAGAGAGAGAGAGAGAGAGAGAGAGAGGGAGAGGGCGCUCCACUCAUCAGGGACAAAUAGGUGCUCCAAAGUCACGGCCCAAUGACACCUCCUCCAAUCGCCCCUCCCUGCCUGCAGUCACCACCCAGUUGAUCCUAUCAGAGGAUUAUUACUGCACUGGUUAGGCUAAGGCUCUCAUAACCCCAUCAGUUCACCUCUAAACUCUUCAGCACUGUCUCACACAUGGGCUUCUGGGGGACACCUCGUAUCUAAGCCAUCACACACACAAACAUGGCAAAUUCUCUCUAUAGCCACACAGCCGACCCUCCAAAUCCAUGGGUUGUGCAUCCAGGGGUUCAACCAACCUCAGACCAAAAAUAUUCAGAAAAUUGCAUCUGCUCAUAAGUAGAAUAUUAAAAAGUUGAUCUCAUGGAAAAUGAGAGUAGGGAGAAGAGGGAGGCCGUGGGCGAGGCAGGUCGGCAGGUGCAAUGUCGCUGAGCCUGUUACCCUCUAGGGGUGCUGGGUUCCCUGUCUGCGCUCAGCAGAGAAUUCAAGAGCAGGACAGAGACAGAAGCAGGCAGCAGGCUGAGGGCAGACCCAACAGAACAGACUUCUCCAAAGAGAAGGGGCCCCGGGGCCAGGAGGCUGGUGGGCAGUUUUGGCCUCUUCUUUUUAUGGUCUCUGAAAUGUCCUCCUUUCCUUACCUCCUCCCUGUCCACGUGCUCCUCACCAUUAUUGAUUGGUGCCCCCUGUGUUCUGUUUUCGAGUUUCGAUUGGGUCCCCCCCUUAGGAGCAGGAAUACAGAAACGUCUGUCCCCGCUUGUGUCCACAAGCGCUUUCGUCAAGGAGGAAGUUGACCUCAUCAGGAGACCCUCUCCGUGCUCCUUUGUUCUGGCCCUGCCUGGACCUCCUUCCUCUCCAUCUUGCCCUGCCUGCCUACGCCCUUCUACCUCUUCCUCAAGGGAUGAGAAGAAAAAGUCCUGUUAGCAGCACAGCAGUGUGGAUGCGAUCAGCACAAGGCAGCGUGCGUAUAAACCAGCUCAAGGGAUGAGUGUGAACACACUCACCACGGAGAAAGGACCAGUGUUUGGUGAUGGGUGUGCUAAUUACUCUGUGUCGAUCGCUCCUCAAUGCAGACAUGAAUCAAAACAUCACAUCAUGCUCCAUAAAUAUGUACAAAUAUUAUGUGUCAAUCAAAAAAUAAAAAGAAGGAAAUUGCAUCUGU